UACGAAGGGGGCUAGCGUUGCUCGGAAUUACUGGGCGUAAAGGGAGCGUAGGCGGACAUUUAAGUCAGGGGUGAAAUCCCAGAGCUCAACUCUGGAACUGCCUUUGAUACUGGAUGUCUUGAGUGUGAUAGAGGUAAGUGGAACUCCGAGUGUAGAGGUGAAAUUCGUAGAUAUUCGGAAGAACACCAGUGGCGAAGGCGACUUACUGGAUCAUUACUGACGCUGAGGCUCGAAAGCGUGGGGAGCAAACAGG
rnacentral:rRNA from 1 species